ensembl:lncRNA
UUUUUUUUUUUUUUUUUUUUGUAUUUUUAGUAGAGAUGGGGUUUCACCAUGUUGGCCAGGCUGGUCUUGAACUCCUGACCUCAAGUGAUCCGCCCACCUCAGCCUCCCAAAGUGCUGGGAUUAUAGGAGUGAGCCACUGCUCCAGGCCUCCAGGCCCUUUUUAAACAACCAGUUCUUUGGGAACUGAUAAAGGAAGAACUCACCACUCCUGCCCACCUAGGGAGGGCAUUAUGUCUUCAUGAGGUUUCUGCCCCCAUGACCCAAGCACCUCCCAUUAGUCCUCUCCAACACUGGGGAUCCAAUUUCAACAUGAGAUUUGCAGGGGACAAACAUCCAAACUAUAGCAGCAUACAAAUCUCUGUUCAAGUCCCUGUUUUCGAUUCUUUUGAUCUUGUGGAUAUGAACCCAGGAAUGGAAUUGCUGGAUCAUGUGAUGGUUGUACUUUUUUUUUUUUUUUUUGAGACGGAGUCUAGCUCUGUCGUCCAGGCUGGAGCGAGACUCCGUCUCAAAAAAAAAAAAAAAAAAAAAAAAAAACAGAAAUACUCCUUCAAGAGACAGGCCAGGCCUGGGCUGGGGCUAGAGGUACAGAGACAUCUGGGACCCAGGCCCUGCCCUAAGGGGCACUGCACAGAUUACAGGAUGGUGUGAUAACUGGCGACAGUUGUAACUCGAACUCAACUGGGGCUGGUAUCUGAGAAGCUUGAACUUAGUGUAGGGGCAGGAAAGUACUCCUGGAGGAGGUGAUGCAUGAUUAGGAGCCAGGCCCGCUAGAGGGGAUGGUGUUCCAAACAUCAGGCUUGGCCUGUGCAAAGGCCAUGGGCGUCUAAGACAGUGACAUAUGAGAGACUGAGCCCAGCUCACUGUGAAAGCAGGGCAGGCUACACUGACCUGGGGGCGACUGGGCCUUCGCUGCUUUCUACAUCCUCUGACUCGUCCCCAUCAGAAUCUCAACAGACUCGUCACCUCCAGGGCCUGCACUGCUCUCCCAAGGUUGCCCAAUUUCUCUCAUUUCCUAAGGAAGGCCAGGUCUGCCAGCACUUAGAGAGCAGGGCCUGCUGGCAUGCCCCAGGGUGAGGCUGGGCCCAGCGAGUCCCUCCUUUCGUGUGUCACAGGAGCCUGAGCCUGCAGAGGUGGCUCUCUAGCACCUAGCUAGAGACGAUUUGACCAGUGCCCUGCGACCCACGGUUCACUUUCAAGGGUAUCCACAAGAGAUGUGUCUGCUCCACCCAGUGGGAUGAAGCAUCCGGCCCUGAGUCAGGAUGCUGGGGUGCUGGCCAUCUCAGCCACCCACUCCCUUGCAACCCCAGGCAAGCAAGUCCCUUCUCUCCUCCCGGCCAGGGGCUUUCCAGAUGAAAGCAGCUGCACCCCUUUACUCUCAGGGACCUAAAAUUUCGGCGACCAUGUGGAGCCAUAAACCCUUCUGCCUCCUGUCCUCCCAGCCCCACACCUACCUGGCGUUUUCGUGUCACGGAACCUCUGCACGUGCUCUUCUCGAGGCCUAGAGUCCCUGUCUCUCCCUCUGGCCAACUCCUAUUUCAUCCCUCACAGACCCAACUCGAACGCCAUCAUCCCCGGAAAGCUGGGAUUCCUCCCUUCCGUCUCUGCUUCCUUAUCUCGCUGUCCUGCUGCGCGCGCCCUCAGUGUACGCGCAGAGCCCGGGGCUGAGGGCCUCCGGGUCCCUGACUGGGCGCGCGGCCGGGACCGCAGCGGCAUGGGGAGCAUCAGCAGCUGUGGGACUCCGCCCGG